AAAUCACUUUACACGUGCCUUUAAAAAUUGAGGAGUUCCCUCAAUUCCUCAUGGAUUCCAUCAUCAGACCAGAACCAAAAAUAAUACGGAAACACCUUGGAGGUAGCUCCUUUCAAACAAAAAAGAAUUACUCAAAUCGGACCACGGAUGUCG